AACGCACAUUGCGCCCCUUGGCAUUCCGAGGGGCAUGCCCGUUCGAGCGUCAUUUCACCAAUCAAGCCGGGCUUGGCAUUGGGUCACGGGGGCGACCCGGACCUCAAUUUCGCCGGCUGGACGACCCCGAUCGCAGCGUUGUAACAUCAAAUUCGCUGGCGGGAUGGGCGUCUGCGCCGUGAAACCCCCAUCAAAGGUUGACCUCGGAUCGGGUAGGGAUACCCGCUGAACUUAA
rnacentral:misc_RNA from 1 species